UGGUAUUUGCGGGCGAUGUUUAACAAAUCCCCUUCUUAAUCUACCGAAUUUCUUCGCAACCUAGGGUUUGUCGUUGAUUUGGUUUUCAAUUUUGUAAUUUUAGGGUUCUGGUUUUAUUUCUAUUUUUUGUCAAACAAAAUAAGUAGGAGAAGGAGAUAGUAGGUCCUACCCGUCGCCCCUCACCCUUCGCCGGCCACCCUCCGUUCCCCUCAGCUGUCCUUCGUGCGUCGGCUACCGACCACCAGGGUGGAAUUUCUCUUUCUUCAACAAGAUUUCAUUGCAAAAAAUGGAGUCUGGGAAUUAUAAAUCAUGGGAAGAAGAAAUUUACUGGAAGAAUUUUCAUUUUGCUCGUUUCUCUCUCAUUUUACCCAAUAAUUUUCAUCAUCGUCUCGUUCUUUCCAGUGACUCAUGUUCAACUUUCAAUCCCUGGCAACUCAAGACACCAGAUUGGUAGAAUGCUUGUUGUUGAUGCCUUGUAUGACUUACAACACUCUGGAGUUUAUGACAUCAUUGGAAAACAUGAAGAUUCAGCAACUUGCAUUGAGUAUUUUCCAGAAACAGGUGAGUAGUAUUUGGUAGAGCAAUUGAUGUGAUAAAAAUUAGUUUAGGAGGCAAAUGCUUUGUGGUAUGGUUUUAUGAUAAUUUAGGCGUUAUGUGUUAAGUCAGUAGAACCAAAAAGUUUUCAUAAUUCCUGUCUUGGUUUGUAAUAGUUAAAUUUUGUACUUGUCACGGCUAGUGUAAAUAUAUACUCCGUACCUACACAAAUGGAUGCCAAGAGAAUAUCUUAUAAAUAAACCUGAUGAUUGAGAGUAUCACAUUUGUAUGCCAAAGGAUAUUUGUAACAUUGAUGAUAAAAAGUAGUCCGGUCCAAACAUCCUUUUCAACUGAAAAAAUAGGAAGCCUGACGUAUGAUUGGGUGAAAAGAUUGAUGCUAUUUGUUCAAGAUUAAAAGAACCCAAUGCCUUAUGUCCCACCAUUCUACUACUAGUAUAAAUUGUUUGGUUUAUGACUAAUUAAUUAUGUAUGUAUGUAACAAGCAAAGUUCGAUUUCAUAGUUUGGUUAGAAAUGGAUAAUCUGCAUCCUGAGGCUCAAAAUGCGCUAAGCUAGCUGUUAAAGCAUGAUCGAUUUUAUGCUGUUUCUAAGCCUCUAGAUGCAGAUGAUCUGUUUCUUGCCAGGGCUCUAUUAUUUCACUUAGCUUGCUCGUCUUAUGUUUACUUUCUGGUAUAUACGAGUGAUCAUGAGUCUGUUUGAGGUUUAUAUGCUUGUUUCGAUAUAUAUAUAUAACACGUUGUUUUCAGCAUGAUCACAAGUCCUGGAGGUUUCUUAGCUUGCCAAGACUGAGGUCAUUAUGAUCAAGAGUCUUUAAGGUAUAUGCUUCUUUCAGCUAUGUUAUUUUACGAAGGCCUAAAAUAAAUAGAAUUCUGUAAUAUUAUUCUAGAUUGAAUUGUGUAAUAAGUAUUCAAAUGCAAUAUUGUUUUAACUUAUAGUUUUACACCAAUGAUAUCUUUUGUUCUUCAUAUUGUCCUGUCUUGGAUAAAGUUAUCAGAUUAUGUAUAAUUUUAUAAUAACCACAUUAAAGUGAGCAGCUUAAUAUAUAGAAAACUUCCUGUAAAUCUAAAAUCAUGCUCUUUACAACAUCUCUGCUUCUCUUAAAUGGUAUGAAUAUUGGAUCACUUAGGUCUGUAGUGCCAAUUGAUUUAUGAAUGACACCUCAUUCUAGCUUAUUACAAACUCUUUCCCUUGUCAAAUUAUUGCCUAUAAGCUCAUCAACAACUCUCUUCCCUACCCUAACCCUUUCCUUCUCAAGCUCAACAAUUCUCCCCCUUUCCUUUGCUAAACAGUUUGAUAGAAAAACUAUGGUAAGCAGUUUCAUUGGAGUCGGUCAAGUUGAUGCAAUGUUGAUAUUAAGCAGUAGCAGUAGCAGUAGCAGAAGCAGAAGCAGAAUAGCAAUAGCAGAACAGCAAGCAGAACACAAAGUAGCAGAAGCAGAAGCAGUAGCAGAAUAGUAGUAGCAGAAGCAGAACAACAGUAGCAGUAGCAGAAGCAGAACAGUAGUAGUUCUGAUAUCCUGGCUGUGAUAGUUCUUGGAGUUAUCGGAGGUGUUCUGGGCAGCUUUUAUAAUUAUCUUAUUGACAUGCACUAUCGUUGACAACGUUGUUUAAUCCCUUAUUUUGAUUAUGCUUGUGAAUGUAACAUCACCAGGCCAGCAAAACAGCAGCAACAGCCAUCACCACGCAGGCACAGCACCAGGCCUUCUCAUAUGGUCUGCCAUCAACGAAUUUAUAUGUUGUUUUUUUUUCAAUUUUGUAAAGUGUAAUAUUACAAGUUAUUGAACAAAAUAUAUGUGUUUAUGUAUA